CUAAUUUUCGCCUGGUACAUGUUGCUUUGCAGACCUAUGUUGUUCACAGGACUUGAUUUUGAUUCUGCUCCAUCUCAUCAGAGUUCUCACUGGUASGAGGGAACUCUCUGAAGUCUUACUGAAGGAUCCUGAAGGAGCUUUCGCUGAUCCAACCACAGACCARUUUGGCCUGUUGCUCCAUGAGGAAUGAAGUGAAAGACCUUUAAUACAAAUUAUGACC